UUCCGCUCUGGCCCAAAAGCAAUCUGGAAGCUAAAGACAUCGCUACGCUUCACUGCUGACUCCUCUCUGUUUUCCCCUCUAGACCAGCAGAGAUUCACUGCCUCCUGAAGACAUCGCUGAGAUCUUUGAGGAUGUUAAAGAUAGGGGAGUCCUCAUAGGCAAAGGAGGAGUUUAUGGACAGAUCUUCCGCAUCAAACCCCCAUGUGCAUCACAAAGGAAGACGCGGAUUUCUUCCUGGCGGUUUUUAACAAAUCCGUCCACAACUACAUGGAGAAAAGAUGAAAGCUUUAUAAAAGCUCAGAUGACUCAGAGGCGAGCCCAGAACCACAAAAGUAUACUAAAAAAGUGAAUAAUGUUUUUAUCCUUAAUGAUGGUUCAAAUAUUACUUUGUGGUACCUCUAAAUUUUGUAGCCACUAAAACAGGAACAUUUUAAAAGCUACCGUUUAAUUCCAAGCUCUUAAUACACUAAUUGUUCUGUACUAAACAUAAAAAUAUAUUUUUCACUGUGUCUAUAAUCUACAUUCUGCUUUCAUUGAAGUCUUUUGUUGAAUCUGUCAUACUAAAUGUCAAAAAAUAAAUUUAUGACAAAAA